rnacentral:rRNA from 1 species
CAGUCGCCACGGGAAUACGAAGGGGGCUAGCGUUGCUCGGAAUGACUGGGCGUAAAGGGCGCGUAGGCGGAUUGUUUAGUUAGGCGUGAAAUUCCUGGGCUUAACCUGGGGACUGCGCUUAAUACAGGCAGUCUAGAGUGAGGAAGAGGGUUGUGGAAUUUCCAGUGUAGAGGUGAAAUUCGUAGAUAUUGGGAAGAACACCGGUGGCGAAGGCGGCAACCUGGUCCUUGACUGACGCUGAGGCGCGAAAGCGUGGGGAGCAAACAGGAUUAGAUACCCGUGUAGUCCCUGUCUCUUAUAA